rnacentral:rRNA from 1 species
GAUGAACGCUAGCGGCAGGCUUAACACAUGCAAGUCGAGGGGCAGCACAGUGUAGCAAUACAUGGGUGGCGACCGGCGCACGGGUGCGUAACGCGUAUCCAACCUUCCCGUUACUCUCGGAUAGCCUUCCGAAAGGGAGAUUAAUACGAGAUGGUGUUGAAAUUCCGCAUGUUAUUUCAACUAAAGAUUCAUCGGUAACGGAUGGGGAUGCGUGACAUUAGGUAGAUGGCGGGGUAACGGCCCACCAUGCCCACGAUGUCUAGGGGUUCUGAGAGGAAGGUCCCCCACACUGGAACUGAGACACGGUCCAGACUCCUACGGGAGGCAGCAGUGAGGAAUAUUGGUCAAUGGCCGGAAGGCUGAACCAGCCAAGUAGCGUGAAGGAUGAAGGCUCUAUGGAUUGUAAACUUCUUUUAUACGGGAAUAAAACCACCUACGUGUAGGUGCUUGUAUGUACCGUAUGAAUAAGCAUCGGCUAACUCCGUG